rnacentral:rRNA from 1 species
AGUGAAACGCUGGCGACGUGGUUAAGACAUGCAAGUCGAGGGGCAUCAGGAAGAAAGCUUGCUUUCUUUGCUGGCGACCGGCGCACGGGUGAGUAACACGUAUCCAACCUGCCCUUUACUCGGGGAUAGCCUUUCGAAAGAACGAUUAAUACCCGAUGGCAUAAUGAUUCCGCAUGGUUUCAUUAUUAAAGGAUUCCGGUAAAGGAUGGGGAUGCGUUCCAUUAGGUUGUUGGUGAGGUAACGGCCCACCAAGCCUUCGAUGGAUAGGGGUUCUGAGAGGAAGGUCCCCCACAUUGGAACUGAGACACGGGUCCAAACUCCUACGGGAGGCAGCAGUGAGGAAUAUUGGUCAAUGGGCGUUAGCCUGAACCAGCCAAGUAGCGUGAAAGGAUGAAGGCUCUAAUGGGUCGUAAAACUUCUUUUUAUAUAAGAAUAAAAGUGCAGUAUGUAUACUGUUUUGUAUGUAUUAUAUGAAUAAGGAUCGGCU